GGAUGUGAGGGCCAUCUGGCUGUGUCAUCUGUCACCCUACUGAUUACCAAGAUUUAUUUGGGUGAUUUGGCUGGCUGAAGGGAAUCCCCCUCCUCCCUCACUGUUCCACGUAUGUCCUUUCAAAGCUGAACCCUCAGUCCAAGAAGAUGACCACCCCAGAUGGAGGAGGACAAUUUCCUUUGUCAGGGUACACAAGAAGAGGCACUCCCUUCCAAAUAAGCUCUCAAGAGAAAAAAUUCUCCUAUUAUGCACAUUACAUAUAUUAUGUAUGUUAUACAUAUAUGUGUAUGUACAUGUAUG
rnacentral:snRNA from 1 species